CGAACGCUGGCGGCGUGCUUAACACAUGCAAGUCGAACGGAAAGGCCCCUUCGGGGGUACUCGAGUGGCGAACGGGUGAGUAACACGUGGGUGAUCUGCCCUGCACUUCGGGAUAAGCCUGGGAAACUGGGUCUAAUACCGGAUAGGACCACGGGAUGCAUGUCCUGUGGUGGAAAGCUUUUGCGGUGUGGGAUGGGCCCGCGGCCUAUCAGCUUGUUGGUGGGGUGACGGCCUACCAAGGCGACGACGGGUAGCCGGCCUGAGAGGGUGUCCGGCCACACUGGGACUGAGAUACGGCCCAGACUCCUACGGGAGGCAGCAGUGGGGAAUAUUGCACAAUGGGCGCAASCUGGAUGCAGCGACGCCGCGUGGGGGAUGACGGCCUUCGGGUUGUAAACCUCUUUCACCAUCGACGAAGGUCCGGGUUUCUCGGAUUGACGGUAGGUGGAGAAGAAGCACCGGCCAACUACGUGCCAGCAGCCGCGGUAAUACGUAGGGUGCGAGCGUUGUCCGGAAUUACUGGGCGUAAAGAGCUCGUAGGUGGUUUGUCGCGUUGUUCGUGAAAUCUCACGGCUUAACUGUGAGCGUGCGGGCGAUACGGGCAGACUGGAGUACUGCAGGGGAGACUGGAAUUCCUGGUGUAGCGGUGGAAUGCGCAGAUAUCAGGAGGAACACCGGUGGCGAAGGCGGGUCUCUGGGCAGUAACUGACGCUGAGGAGCGAAAGCGUGGGGAGCGAACAGGAUUAGAUACCCUGGUAGUCCACGCCGUAAACGGUGGGUACUAGGUGUGGGUUUCCUUCCUUGGGAUCCGUGCCGUAGCUAACGCAUUAAGUACCCCGCCUGGGGAGUACGGCCGCAAGGCUAAAACUCAAAGGAAUUGACGGGGGCCCGCACAAGCGGCGGAGCAUGUGGAUUAAUUCGAUGCAACGCGAAGAACCUUACCUGGGUUUGACAUGCACAGGACGCCGGCAGAGAUGUCGGUUCCCUUGUGGCCUGUGUGCAGGUGGUGCAUGGCUGUCGUCAGCUCGUGUCGUGAGAUGUUGGGUUAAGUCCCGCAACGAGCGCAACCCUUGUCUCAUGUUGCCAGCGGGUAAUGCCGGGGACUCGUGAGAGACUGCCGGGGUCAACUCGGAGGAAGGUGGGGAUGACGUCAAGUCAUCAUGCCCCUUAUGUCCAGGGCUUCACACAUGCUACAAUGGCCGGUACAAAGGGCUGCGAUGCCGCGAGGUUAAGCGAAUCCUUUUAAAGCCGGUCUCAGUUCGGAUCGGGGUCUGCAACUCGACCCCGUGAAGUCGGAGUCGCUAGUAAUCGCAGAUCAGCAACGCUGCGGUGAAUACGUUCCCGGGCCUUGUACACACCGCCCGUCA
rnacentral:rRNA from 1 species